rnacentral:misc_RNA from 1 species
CAACCCUCAGACCCCUUUCGGGGGGACUGGCGUUGGGGAUCGGCCCGCCAUAGCGCGGUGCCGUCCCCUAAAUACAGUGGCGGUCUCGCUGCAGCCUCCCCUGCGUAGUAGCACACCUCGCAUCGGAGAGCGGCGCGGCCACGCCGUGAAACCCCCAACUUCUGAA